rnacentral:rRNA from 2 species
GGAGGGGGUUAGCGUUGUUCGGAAUUACUGGGCGUAAAGCGUACGUAGGCGGAUUAAUAAGUUAGAGGUGAAAUCCCAGGGCUCAACCCUGGAACUGCCUUUAAAACUGUUAGUCUUGAGAUCGAGAGAGGUGAGUGGAAUUCCAAGUGUAGAGGUGAAAUUCGUAGAUAUUUGGAGGAACACCAGUGGCGAAGGCGGCUCACUGGCUCGAUACUGACGCUGAGGUACGAAAGUGUGGGGAGCAA